UAGAGUUUGAUCAUGGCUCAGAUUGAACGCUGGCGGCAGGCCUAACACAUGCAAGUCGAGCGGUAGAGAGAAGCUUGCUUCUCUUGAGAGCGGCGGACGGGUGAGUAAUGCCUAGGAAUCUGCCUGGUAGUGGGGGAUAACGUUCGGAAACGGACGCUAAUACCGCAUACGUCCUACGGGAGAAAGCAGGGGACCUUCGGGCCUUGCGCUAUCAGAUGAGCCUAGGUCGGAUUAGCUAGUUGGUGGGGUAAUGGCUCACCAAGGCGACGAUCCGUAACUGGUCUGAGAGGAUGAUCAGUCACACUGGAACUGAGACACGGUCCAGACUCCUACGGGAGGCAGCAGUGGGGAAUAUUGGACAAUGGGCGAAAGCCUGAUCCAGCCAUGCCGCGUGUGUGAAGAAGGUCUUCGGAUUGUAAAGCACUUUAAGUUGGGAGGAAGGGCAGUAAAUUAAUACUUUGCUGUUUGACGUACCGACAG
rnacentral:rRNA from 2 species